CAUGAAGCUGGAAUUGCUAGUAAUCGCGGAUCAGCAAGCCGCGGUGAAUACGUUCCCGGGCCUUGUACACACCGCCCGUCACACCAUGAGAGUCGGGAACACCCGAAGUCCGUAGUCUAACCGCAAGGGGGGCGCGGCCGAAGGUGGGUCCGGUAAUUGGGGUGAAGUCGUAACAAGGUAUC
rnacentral:rRNA from 1 species